CGGUGUUCAACUGGCGUGUCCGCGGGACGUCCUGCCGGUGGGCUUAGCCCGCAAGGGCGGCCCAACUUCAAAUCCCAUCGCGGUGCUCUUCACUGAGUGUCGAGGUGGGCCGGCACGUUUACUUUGAACAAAUUAGAGUGCUUAAAGCAGGCUAAAACUUCGCCUGAAUACUGUGUGCAUGGAAUAAUGGAAUAGGACCUCGGUUCUAUUUUGUUGGUUUUCGGAACCCCGAGGUAAUGAUUAAUAGGAACGGAUGGGGGCAUUCGUAUUGCGACGUUAGAGGUGAAAUUCUUGGAUCGUCGCAAGACGGACAGAAGCGAAAGCAUUUGCCAAAAACGCUUUCAUUGAUCAAGAACGAAAGUUAGAGGUUCGAAGGCGAUCAGAUACCGCCCUAGUUCUAACCAUAAACGAUGCCAGCUAGCGAUCCGUCGACGUUCCUCCGAUGACUCGACGGGCAGCUUCCGGGAAACCAAAGCUUUUGGGUUCCGGGGGAAGUAUGGUUGCAAAGCUGAAACUUAAAGGAAUUGACGGAAGGGCACCACCAGGAGUGGAGCCUGCGGCUUAAUUUGACUCAACACGGGAAACCUCACCAGGCCCGGACACCGGAAGGAUUGACAGAUUGAGAGCUCUUUCUUGAUUCGGUGGGUGGUGGUGCAUGGCCGUUCUUAGUUGGUGGAGCGAUUUGUCUGGUUAAUUCCGAUAACGAACGAGACUCUAGCCUGCUAACUAGGCGUAUUUUCGACAUCUCAAAGGUCCGUCGUCCCGGCCCUCGGGUCGUGGGCGUGCGCGAUUUUUACUGCCGGCGUACUAUCAAUUCUUCUUAGAGGGACAGGUGGCUUCUAGCCGCACGAGAUUGAGCAAUAACAGGUCUGUGAUG
rnacentral:rRNA from 1 species